rnacentral:rRNA from 1 species
UACGUAGGGUGCAAGCGUUAAUCGGAAUUACUGGGCGUAAAGCGUGCGCAGGCGGUUUUGUAAGUCUGUCGUGAAAUCCCCGGGCUCAACCUGGGAAUUGCGAUGAAGACUGCAAGGCUUGAAUCUGGCAGAGGGGGGUAGAAUUCCACGUGUAGCAGUGAAAUGCGUAGAGAUGUGGAGGAACACCGAUGGCGAAGGCAGCCCCCUGGGUCAAAACUGACGCUCAUGCACGAAAGCGUGGGGAGCAAACAGG